GGGUUCAUGGCCUAAUGGUAAGGCGUUAGAUUUCGGUUCCAGUACUGUCCUCUAAAGAUUGCAGGUUCGAUCCCUGCUGAGCUCG